rnacentral:rRNA from 1 species
GAUGAACGCUAGCGGCAGGCUUAAUACAUGCAAGUCGAGGGGCAGCAGUUUUGUAGCAAUACAGAAGCUGGCGACCGGCAAACGGGUGCGGAACACGUACGCAACCUUCCUUUAACUGGGAGAUAGCCACCGAAAGGUGGAUUAAUAUCCCAUAGUAUAUUUGAGUGGCAUCACUUAGAUAUUAAAGCUCCGGCGGUUAAAGAUGGGCGUGCGUCUGAUUAGGUAGUUGGCGGGGUAACGGCCCACCAAGCCCACGAUCAGUAGCUGAUGUGAGAGCAUGAUCAGCCACACGGGCAGUGAGACACGGGCCCGACUCCUACGGGAGGCAGCAGUAAGGAAUAUUGGUCAAUGGACGCAAGUCUGAACAAGCCAUGCCGCGUGGAGGAUGAAGGUCCUCUGGAUUGUAAACUUCUUUUCUUUGGGACGAAACCCCUGUUUCUACGGGGACUGACGGUACCAGAGGGAUAAGCACCGGCUAACUCCGUGCCAGCCGCCGCAGUAAGAC